rnacentral:rRNA from 1 species
UACAGAGACUGCAAGCGUUAUUCGGAUUUACUGGGCGUAAAGGGCGCGUAGGCGGCCAGCGCAAGUCAGUUGUGAAAUCUCCGGGCUUAACUCGGAAAGGUCAACUGAUACUGCGCGGCUAGAGUGCAGAAGGGGCAACUGGAAUUCUCGGUGUAGCGGUGAAAUGCGCAGAUAUCGGGAAGAACACCCGUGGCGAAGGCGGCUCACUGGCCCGGUACUGACGCUGAGGUGCGAAAGCGUGGGGAGCAAACAGG